UUCGAUUCCGGAGAGGGAGCCUGAGAAAUGGCUACCACAUCCAAGGAUGGCAGCAGGCGCGCAAAUUACCCACUCCCAGCUUGGGGAGGUAGUGACGAAAAAUAACAAUGCGGGACUCUAAGAGGCCCCGUAAUUGGAAUGAGUACACCUUAAAUCGUUUAACGAGUAUCAAUUGGAGGGCAAGUCUGGUGCCAGCGGCCGCGGUAAUUCCAGCUCCAAUAGCGUAUAUUAAAGUUGCUGCAGUUAAAAAGCUCGUAGUUGGAUCUGGGGCUUGAGGUCGCUGUCUAUCGUUUCGGCGAUGACGGUGAUGCUCAGCUCUGCUUGCCGGUGACUGUUGCGGUGUUCUUCACUGAGCGCUGUAGCAGCACGGCACGUUUACUUUGAAAAAAUUAGAGUGCUCAAAGCGUGCUUGUCGCUUGAAUAAUGUUGCAUGGAAUAAUGGAAUAGGACCUCGGUUCUAUUUUGUUGGUUUUCGGAGCUUGAGGUAAUGAUUAAGAGGGACGAACGGGGGCAUUCGUAUUGCGGUGUUAGAGGUGAAAUUCUUGGAUCGCCGCAAGACGGACUACUGCGAAAGCAUUUGCCAAGAACGCUUUCAUUAAUUAAGAACGAAAGUCAGAGGUUCGAAGACGAUCAGACACCGUCCUAGUUCUGACCAUAAACGAUGCCGACCAGCGAUCCGUAGUGGUUGCUUUAUGGACCCUACGGGCAGCCUCCGGGAAACCAAAGUAUUUGGGUUCCGGGGGAAGUAUGGUUGCAAAGCUGAAACUUAAAGGAAUUGACGGAAGGGCACACCAGGAGUGGAGCCUGCGGCUUAAUUUGACCCAACACGGGAAAACUCACCCGGUCCGGACACCGUAAGGAUUGACAGACUGAUAGCUCUUUCUUGAUUCGGUGGAUGGUGGUGCAUGGCCGUUCUUAGUUGGUGGAGUGAUUUGUCUGGUUAAUUCCGAUAACGAACGAGACUCUAGCCUGCUAAGUAGUGUUGCUAUUGUUAUAUGGUUGACACUUCUUAGAGGGACAAGUGGCAUUUAGCCACGCGAAAUUGAGCAAUAACAGGUCUGUGAUGCCCUUAGAUGUCCGGGGCCGCACGCGCGCUACACUGGAGAAGUCAGCGUGUGUUAUCCAAGUCCGAAAGGACUGGGUAAUCCGUUGAACCUUCUUCGUGCUUGGGACUGUGGCUUGGAACUAUUCCACAUGAACGAGGAAUUCCUAGUAAUUGCAAGUCAUAAGCUUGCGUUGAUUACGUCCCUGCCCUUUGUACACGCCGCCCGUCGCUACUACCGAUUGAAUGGUUUAGCAAGGUCCUCGGAUCGUGGCCGUAGGGGCACGCAAGUGUUUCUGCGGUUUGCGAGAAGACGACCAAACUUGAUCAUUUAGAGGAAGUAAAAGUCGUAACAAGGUU
rnacentral:rRNA from 1 species